UAGAGACUGACAAGACUACCACGAGUGGGAACUAUUGCGCAUUUUGCUCAAUGUUCAAGAACCCAAGCCAGCCAUAUGACGUACACGUUGGGGUCGUUAAGUGUUGUAAACUGGUAUGAUACGGGUAGAAAAAACCUUUGCGAAGAGAAUCGCCGGUCCCGUAAGAAGAACCACCUAUUACUCCGCAGCAGCAGCCGCAAUAAUACGGAGGCAACAAGUAUUGUCAGGUUUUAUUGGGUAAGCGGGGUGCGUAGGCGGGUUAAAAGUCAGUGGUGAAAGCCUGCUCAUAACUGUAGAACUGCCAUUGAUACUAAGACCUUUAGUGUACUAGAGGUAGGGGUAUUUAUGGUGUAGCGAGAAAUGCAUAAUACCAUAAAGAACACCGAUAGAGUAGGCAGCUUACUGGAGUACAACUGACGCUGAGGCACGAAAGCAUGGGGAGCGAACAGGAUUAGAUACCCUGGUAGUCCAUGCCGUAAACGAUGAUUACUCGAUGUUGGCGAUACACGUCAGCGUCCAAGCGAAAGCGUUAAUUAUCC
rnacentral:rRNA from 1 species